rnacentral:rRNA from 1 species
AACGAACGCUGGCGGCAGGCCUAACACAUGCAAAUCGAACGCUGCAGCAAUGCAGAGUGGCGGACGGGUGAGUAACGCGUGGGAACCUUCCCAAUGGUACGGUAUAGCCCAGGGAAACUUGGGGUAAUACCGUAUAAGCCCCAUGGGGGAAAGAUUUAUCGCCAUUGGAUGGGCCCGCGUCGGAUUAGCUAGUUGGUGAGGUAACGGCUCACCAAGGCGACGAUCCGUAGCUGGUUUGAGAGAAUGACCAGCCACACUGGGACUGAGACACGGCCCAGACUCCUACGGGAGGCAGCAGUGGGGAAUCUUGGACAAUGGGCGAAAGCCUGAUCCAGCCAUGCCGCGUGAGUGACGAAGGCCUUAGGGUUGUAAAGCUCUUUUGGCGGGGACGAUAAUGACGGUACCCGCAGAAUAAGUCCCGGCUAACUUCGUGCCAGCAGCCGCCGUAA